GCUGGGCAUGGUGGCUCAUGCCUGUAAUCCCAGCACUUUGGGAGGCCGAGGCGGGUGGAUCACCUGAGGUCAGGAGUUCGAGACCAGCCUGGCCAACAUGGUAAAACCCCGUCUCUA
rnacentral:SRP_RNA from 1 species